rnacentral:rRNA from 1 species
UACGUAGGGGGCAAGCGUUGUCCGGAAUCAUUGGGCGUAAAGCGCGUGUAGGCGGUUCGGUAAGUCUGCUGUGAAAGUCCAGGGCUCAACCCUGGGAUGCCGGUGGAUACUGUCGGACUAGAGUACGGAAGAGGCGAGUGGAAUUCCUGGUGUAGCGGUGAAAUGCGCAGAUAUCAGGAGGAACACCGGUGGCGAAGGCGGGUCUCUGGGCCGAUACUGACGCUGAGGAGCGAAAGCGUGGGGAGCGAACAGG